rnacentral:rRNA from 1 species
AACGUAGGAGACAAACGUUAUCCGGAGUUACUGGGCGUAAAGGGCGUGUAGGUGGUAGAGUAAGUCUGGCGUGAAAUUUUUCGGCUUAACCGGGAAAGGUCGUCGGAUACUGCUUAACUAGAGGACGGUAGAGGCGUGUGGAAUUCCGGGUGUAGUGGUGAAAUGCGUAGAGAUCCGGAGGAACACCAGUGGCGAAGGCGGCCUGCUGGGCAGUUGCUGACGCUGAGGCGCGACAGCGUGGGGAGCAAACAGG